AGAGUUUGAUCAUGGCUCAGAUUGAACGCUGGCGGCAGGCCUAACACAUGCAAGUCGAACGGUAACAGGAAACAGCUUGCUGUUUCGCUGACGAGUGGCGGACGGGUGAGUAAUGUCUGGGAAACUGCCUGAUGGAGGGGGAUAACUACUGGAACCGGUAGCUAAUACCGCAUAACGUCGCAAGACCAAAGAGGGGGACCUUCGGGCCUCUUGCCAUCAGAUGUGCCCAGAUGGGAUUAGCUAGUAGGUGGGGUAACGGCUCACCUAGGCGACGAUCCCUAGCUGGUCUGAGAGGAUGACCAGCCACACUGGAACUGAGACACGGUCCAGACUCCUACGGGAGGCAGCAGUGGGGAAUAUUGCACAAUGGGCGCAAGCCUGAUGCAGCCAUGCCGCGUGUAUGAAGAAGGCCUUCGGGUUGUAAAGUACUUUCAGCGGGGAGGAAGGGAGUAAAGUUAAUACCUUUGCUCAUUGACGUUACCCGCAGAAGAAGCACCGGCUAACUCCGUGCCAGCAGCCGCGGUAAUACGGAGGGUGCAAGCGUUAAUCGGAAUUACUGGGCGUAAAGCGCACGCAGGCGGUUUGUUAAGUCAGAUGUGAAAUCCCCGGGCUCAACCUGGGAACUGCAUCUGAUACUGGCAGGCUUGAGUCUCGUAGAGGGGGGUAGAAUUCCAGGUGUAGCGGUGAAAUGCGUAGAGAUCUGGAGGAAUACCGGUGGCGAAGGCGGCCCCCUGGACGAAGACUGACGCUCAGGUGCGAAAGCGUGGGGAGCAAACAGGAUUAGAUACCCUGGUAGUCCACGCCGUAAACGAUGUCGACUUGGAGGUUGUGCCCUUGAGGCGUGGCUUCCGGAGCUAACGCGUUAAGUCGACCGCCUGGGGAGUACGGCCGCAAGGUUAAAACUCAAAUGAAUUGACGGGGGCCCGCACAAGCGGUGGAGCAUGUGGUUUAAUUCGAUGCAACGCGAAGAACCUUACCUGGUCUUGACAUCCACGGAAGUUUUCAGAGAUGAGAAUGUGCCUUCGGGAACCGUGAGACAGGUGCUGCAUGGCUGUCGUCAGCUCGUGUUGUGAAAUGUUGGGUUAAGUCCCGCAACGAGCGCAACCCUUAUCCUUUGUUGCCAGCGGUCCGGCCGGGAACUCAAAGGAGACUGCCAGUGAUAAACUGGAGGAAGGUGGGGAUGACGUCAAGUCAUCAUGGCCCUUACGACCAGGGCUACACACGUGCUACAAUGGCGCAUACAAAGAGAAGCGACCUCGCGAGAGCAAGCGGACCUCAUAAAGUGCGUCGUAGUCCGGAUUGGAGUCUGCAACUCGACUCCAUGAAGUCGGCAUCGCUAGUAAUCGUGGAUCAGAAUGCCACGGUGAAUACGUUCCCGGGCCUUGUACACACCGCCCGUCACACCAUGGGAGUGGGUUGCAAAAGAAGUAGGUAGCUUAACCUUCGGGAGGGCGCUUACCACUUUGUGAUUCAUGACUGGGGUGAAGUCGAACAAGGUAACCGUAGGGGAACCUGCGGUUG
rnacentral:rRNA from 1 species